rnacentral:lncRNA from 1 species
UUGGGCGCGCAUUUGCCCGCGGCAUAUUUUUGGCACACGGAGGCCCCUCGCAAAGUCUCGCGGCAUUCCGAGUCCGGCGGACGAAGUUGGCCAGCCCCACCCCCCAAGGCUAUAGCCCACCCGUUUUUGUGGCCUUUUUCCGCUGGACGAACUUGGCGCCCCGGCCUUCGGGGGGUUAUUUUUGGGCGCGCCUUUGCCCGUGGCCUAUUUUUGGCACACGGAGGCCCCUCGUAAAGUCUCGCGGCAUUCCGAGUCCGGCGGACGAAGUGGGCCGGCCCCACCCCCCAAGGCUAUAGCCCACCCGUUUUUGUGGCCUUUUUCCGCUGGACGAACUUGGAGACCCGGCCUUCGGGCGGUUAUUUUUGGGCGCGGCUUUGCCCACGGCCUAUUUUUGGCCCACGGAGGCCCCUCGUAAAGUCUCGCGGCAUUCCGAGUCCGGCGGACGAAGUUGGCCAGCCCCACCCCCCAAGGCUAUAGCCCACCCGUUUUUGUGGCCUUUUACCGCUGGACGAACUUGGCGACCCGGCCUACGGGUGGUUAUUUUUAGGCGCGGCUUUGCCCGCGGAUUAUUUAUG